rnacentral:rRNA from 1 species
CUGCUGGCUGUGACGUUACUCGCAGAAGAAGCACCGGCUAACUCCGUGCCAGCAGCCGCGGUAAUACGGAGGGUGCAAGCGUUAAUCGGAAUUACUGGGCGUAAAGCGCACGCAGGCGGUUGGAUAAGUUAGAUGUGAAAGCCCCGGGCUCAACCUGGGAAUUGCAUUUAAAACUGUCCAGCUAGAGUCUUGUAGAGGGGGGUAGAAUUCCAGGUGUAGCGGUGAAAUGCGUAGAGAUCUGGAGG